AUUGAACGCUGGCGGCAGGCCUAACACAUGCAAGUCGAGCGGUUGACGGGAGCUUGCUCCCUGAUUCAGCGGCGGACGGGUGAGUAAUGCCUAGGAAUCUGCCUAUUAGUGGGGGACAACGUUUCGAAAGGAACGCUAAUACCGCAUACGUCCUACGGGAGAAAGCGGGGGACCUUCGGGCCUUGCGCUAAUAGAUGAGCCUAGGUCGGAUUAGCUAGUUGGUGAGGUAAUGGCUCACCAAGGCGACGAUCCGUAACUGGUCUGAGAGGAUGAUCAGUCACACUGGAACUGAGACACGGUCCAGACUCCUACGGGAGGCAGCAGUGGGGAAUAUUGGACAAUGGGCGAAAGCCUGAUCCAGCCAUGCCGCGUGUGUGGAGAAGGUCUUCGGAUUGUAAAGCACUUUAAGUUGGGAGGAAGGGUUGUAGAUUAAUACUCUGCAAUUUUGACGUUACCGACAGAAUAAGCACCGGCUAACUCUGUGCCAGCCGCCGCCGUAACAC
rnacentral:rRNA from 1 species